rnacentral:lncRNA from 1 species
AUUGUCCAUAUUUUGAGGAACUUCUGGCAUCUCAUUUAAUUGUUUAUCCAUGAGUUUAAGGAACUGCAGGUUCCAUUUUGUAUAUAGUGACGGUUUCCCCAAAAUGGUUAAUAUUUAUGCAUACGUCACUAUUCAUGUGAAUAGUACUAUUCAUCAAUCAUGAAUACAUAUCUAUUCAUAUGUGCAGUACAUUUGCCAGUACAGUUAUUAUUCAUGUGUACGGCACUUUUAACCAAUACGGUACUGUUACAUCAUUAAGGAAACCCAGGUCCUUAUUCACAUGUCAGGGAUCAAGGACCCUUAAGUCCGAUCACAUGUUUACAAAUAUAGUACCGGAGAGACUGCCAGCUCUCAUAUCAAUAUCAUCAUCAAGGAUCUUCAAGUCCUGAUGUAAAUGUAUGAUGAGGAUCAAGGAACUUCUGGUCCUGAUCUGUAUACUGUAAAAACUCAUCAUACAGCACAAUUAAUCCAUAAAAUAAAUUUACCGUUUAAAUAAAUUACUUGUAUGGACGUUAAUCCCGCACCAUACUUUAAAUGUGCGGUAAAGUAAAUUCAUAAAUUAAAUUGCUGUAUGGACGUUAAUCCCGCACCAUACUGUAAAUGUGCGGUAAAGUAGACGUGCUUGUAUGGGCACUAAUUCUGCUCCAUACAUUUAAAUGACAGUAAAGGCGUGGACGAUAAACCCGCACCACCCUUUAAAGUAGGUUAAUUUGCUGUAAAGUAAAUUCACAAAUUAAAUUGUUGUAUGGACGUUAAUGCCGCACCAUACUUUAAAU